CGAGCCGGGACUACGCCGGGUGAGGGCGGCAUGUGCCGCGCUGUGAGGCCGGCGGGGCACCG
rnacentral:sRNA from 1 species